rnacentral:rRNA from 1 species
AAUAGAUACCCUGGUAGUCCACGCCGUAAACGAUGAAUGCUAGGUGUUAGGGGUUUCGAUACCCUUGGUGCCGAAGUUAACACAUUAAGCAUUCCGCCUGGGGAGUACGGCCGCAAGGGCUGAAACUCAAAGGAAUUAGACGGGGACCCGGCACAAGCAGUGGAGUAUGUGGUUUAAUUCGAAGCAACGCGAAGAACCUUACCAGGUCUUGACAUCCCCCUGACCGGUACAGAGAUGUACCUUUCCUUCGGGACAGGGGAGACAGGUGGUGCAUGGUUGUCGUCAGCUCGUGUCGUGAGAUGUUGGGUUAAGUCCCGCAACGAGCGCAACCCUUGACUUUAGUUGCCAGCAAGUAAGGUUCGGGCACUCUAGAGUGACUGCCGGUGACAAACCGGAGGAAGGUGGGGAUGACGUCAAAUCAUCAUGCCCCGUUAUGACCUGGGCUACACACGUACUACAAUGGCCGGUACAACGGGAAGCGAAGGAGCGAUCUGGAGCGAAUCCGUAUAAAGGCCGGUCUCAGUUCGGAUUGACAGGCUGCAACUCG